rnacentral:rRNA from 1 species
UUAAAUGGCUGCAGUAAUUUGACUGUACAAAGGUAGCAUAAUCAUUAGUUUUUUAAUUAAAAGCUUGAAUGAAAGGUUGGACGAAGUAAAAUCUGUCUCUUUAAAAUAUAAUUAGAAUUUAAUUUUUAAGUUAAAAAGCUUAAAUUUCUAUAAAAGACGAGAAGACCCUAUAGAGUUUAAUAAUUUUGUAAAAAAUAAUUAAUUUGGGUUUAUUACUUUUAUUUUUUAUAAAUUAUUUUAUUGGGGUAAUAGUAAGAUUUAAGUAAUUCUUUUUUUUAAAACCAUUAAUUUAUGAAAUUUAUGAUCCAUUAUUUUAUGAUUAAAAG